GACGAACGCUGGCGGCGUGCUUAACACAUGCAAGUCGAACGGAAAGGCCCUGCUUUUGUGGGGUGCUCGAGUGGCGAACGGGUGAGUAACACGUGAGUAACCUGCCCUUGACUUUGGGAUAACUUCAGGAAACUGGGGCUAAUACCGGAUAGGAGCUCCUGCUGCAUGGUGGGGGUUGGAAAGUUUCGGCGGUUGGGGAUGGACUCGCGGCUUAUCAGCUUGUUGGUGGGGUAGUGGCUUACCAAGGCUUUGACGGGUAGCCGGCCGGAGAGGGUGACCGGCCACAUUGGGACGGAGAUACGGCCCAGACUCCUACGGGAGGCAGCAGUGGGGAAGAUUGAACAGUGGGCGGAAGCCUGAUGCAGCAACGCCGCGUGCGGGAUGACGGCCUUCGGGUUGUAAACCGCUUUCGCCUGUGACGAAGCGUGAGUGACGGUAAUGGGUAAAGAAGCACCGGCUAACUACGU
rnacentral:rRNA from 1 species